GAACCCGAACCUGGUUUUUUUCUGAUGUCAGCGGCGUAGGCAAAGUUCAAGUGCAGCAACCCUCGUAUAUGCAAUCGCACUAAGCAAGCGAACAAAUAUUAUAUGAAGUAAACUUCCGAAAAGCCCCGGUACCUGGCCUUUUACAACUUUUAAUCAUCCAUGUUAAUUACGCCUACGAUUCCUGAUCGUGUAGAUGAUCUUGCUUAUAAACGUCCAUACAGAAAUAUCGGAUAUAUUCAAAAUUCUCUGGUCUAGGGAACUUUUUACAAAUAACACUAUGACCAACAAUUACAAAUUCUUACGACCCAGUCGGAAGUGGAAUUAUUCCCGAACACGUUCCGUCAUACUUAUUUUUCGAGUGGAGGGUGUUCCAUAAGGCUUCUGUAAGCAUUACUUCUGGACGCAUUCUUUGAAAGGCUUCUGAAUAAUUUCCAAAACUAGUAUUCCAGGAUAUUUAUAUUACAAUACUUUCGUAAACGUUACUGAGGAUUGUUUCUAGAUAAUUUUUCGAAUGAAUUAUUAGGAAAAUGUCUAUUGAGUGUAUUCUAACUAAAAAUAAAGACAGUGUUCCCAAAGAAUAUAAAAUAAAAUGAAAUGAAACGAAAAGAAAAUUUAACGCAACAUUGUGUGAUACUUGCAAAAUACAAGCUUAAAUCUGAAAGCCGUCGCUAAAUUUCUAAAAAAAAAAACACUGACGAUCUUGACGAUUCAAAAUUGAAAGCGCAACUAAACAGAAACGCAAUAAACCAACUAAAAUGCGACGCGCUUCUUUGUGCGCUUCUAUCGUUUUCGUCAUUUGCUUUUCUCUGGAAAUUGCUCGUGCUGAACAUCCGUCUACUGUGUGGCACGUAGCGCCGUCCUGUUGAAACCACAUGUUGUCCAGGACCAAAUUCUUGAUUUCAGGCCAAAAGAAGUUGGUCAUCAUCGACCGGUAUCGCUCACCAUUGGAAUUGGCUGUCGCGGGUUUCCGAGGACACUGUCCCGCACAGCAGCGAUAUUCUCGGCAGAUCUCGAGUUACGUUGACACAAGGGAACCGGCCUAUUGUUUACUGACCAGGUUGACUCCAAUCGACGGAUAGUCGACUCGGCAGGACGAUCUUCGCGACCGUUACUAUUGGAUAACGCUUUAUUUGUUAGCUUCAAGACUCAUUUGCCUGAAUUAAUAGCUUAUUUUGUGUACACAUGACUAAAUUCGGAUAAUUGAAAGUAAUAAUAAAAUUGUUCAGUGCUUAAACAAAUCAAUAGCGCUCGUUUAUAGUACAGUCUCCGUCGCAUCCCCAAAUACGCCGGUUAAUUACGAUGCAUUAAGUUAUGUCAACUUGGCGAGCAUCGCGCCCUCUCCGACUAAUGCGUCAAGGGUCGAGAGCCGACAAGGUCAAAAGGCUUUUAAAUAUUAGUCUGUACAACAAAGCUGUCGCUAGCGGAUUUGUUUGUCUAAAAAUAGUAUGUUAAGUAAUGGCCCAUUUCUAUGUUAAGUCGGUAGCAACUGCAAUGCUAUUAGCUUAUUUCGAUUGUUUGGUUCGCUCCUGCACUUUUGCACAGCCGAGCGGUUAACCAAAAAAAUAUUACACUAUACCUUUUGGGUUUAAAGGUUUUUCUCCGGAGUCCAGUAUAAAAUAAGGCUUUUUGUACUCGUUACUCGUAUAGUAAAAGGGUAUACUAGAUUCGAAUAUUUUGUAACAGUAUGAAUAGUAUGUAACAGGCAGAAGGAAGCGUUUCCGCCCAUAUAAAGUAUAUAUAUUCUUAAUAAGGAUCAAUCCGUCAAUCAGUCCGUCUGUUCGUCAAAUUGACGCAUAUCAGAUAGACGGGCAACUCGACUAUAGCGUUCUCUCUUGUUAUGUCAUAAUAAAGUGCAGUUAUUGGUGCUUGAAUUUCAUUCUUAACCAAUAAAUAUCUUAAGAGAAAUCAAAAAUGCACGUCCGGAUUAGGUAAAAAAAAUUCUUUCGUAACCUUCACAUACAAAAAUCGUAUAUCAGCUAUUGUGAUGGAAGUUCCACUUACUGUAUAAAUACCCUAUAUUAAAUUAAAUUAUACGCUUUAUAAAAAAGGUUUCAAAUACCCGUUACUUAGCUGGUGGGAGCGCGAAUUUUCUAUUAAAAAAUAAUAAAAAUGAAAAAUAAAAAAAAUUAAAA